CCUGCCCCUAGAGGUCCUGCAGAUGUGUCUGCUGUGGCACAUGUGUGUCACUAUGUGUCAGAGGAGAGAUGGUAUGUCUAAGCUUUGUGUUCUGACCUAUGAAUAUCUGAAUGAUUAGUAGCUCAACAUU
ensembl:snoRNA